AUUAGAAGAUGGGUGUCUGCUCAACCUAGAUGAGGCUCAACAAUAUCUCAGAGGGGAAUCCAUAUGUCAUCAUUUCUGGCCAGUGACCUCUGAGUGGAAGUCUGAGAAGAAGUUUCUGGGAAGAAGAGUCCUGUUAUGUCCUCACUCUGUUGUUUCCUGUGAAGGAUACUGGUGGGCAGAAGGGAAGACUAGAUUGAGGCAUCCA
rnacentral:lncRNA from 1 species